UUGGAGGGCAAGUCUGGUGCCAGCAGCCGCGGUAAUUCCAGCUCCAAUAGCGUAUAUUAAAGUUGUUGCAGUUAAAAAGCUCGUAGCUGAAUUUCGGGAUCAAAUAAUCGGUCGUGCCUCCGGUACGUACUGGUUUUAUUGGUUCCUCCCUUCUGACGAACCAUGAUGUCAUUAAUUUGAUGUGGUGGAGAAUCAGGACUGUUACCUUGAAAAAAUUAGAGUGUUUAAAGCAGGCUAACGCUUGAAUACAUUAGCAUGGAAUAAUGAAAUAGGACGUUCGACCCUAUUUUGUUGGUUUCUAGGAUCGACGUAAUGAUUAAUAGGGAUAGUUGGGGGCAUUAGUAUUCAAUUGUCAGAGGUGAAGUUCUUGGAUUUAUUGAAGACUAACUACUGCGAAAGCAUUUGCCAAGGAUGUUUUCAUUAAUCAAGAACGAAAGUUAGGGGAUCGAAGACGAUCAGAUACCGUCGUAGUCCUAACCAUAAACUAUGCCGACUAGGGAUCGGAUGAUGUUAAUUUUUUAAUGACUCAUUCGGCGCCUUACGGGAAAC
rnacentral:rRNA from 1 species